AAUGUCCUGACUGUGAUGUCACUUAUAUUGACGAUUUGCCAAGCAAUUAGUCACCAAUACAUAAAGACGAGAAUCACAUUUGAACUUUUAUUCAGUGAUGGCCACAAUUUUCAACUAAAGUGCUGUCACAGCCUAUAUUUAAAAUAUAAUGAUAUAAUUAAAAUGAUCAUUCGUAAUAAGCAUUCCUCAAAUAAUAAUAUCCUUAAAUAAUAGAUUCAAAAAAAUUUAAAACGUUCUGACAUGGAAAAUGAAGAAAGAACAUGUGCAGUUAGUAUUUGUAAAUUCUUGCUGAGAGUCAAUAAUGCACUAAUAGAUACAGAUGAGAGUCACACUUGAGAAAUACCUGACUGCUUUAUAAAGAUGUAAUGGUCUCUAAUUAUAUGACUUGGAUGCAGAUAGAUCGAUCUGGAUCAAUAAACAAUCUAAAUGCGUUCUCUCGGCUUUAUAUUCAUAGAUUCAAUAGAUCGCACUUGGAUUGAAGACUAUGAGGAUGAUAACCGCAACAUCUGGACAACUGCUUCCACGUUCAUCACCUUGUUCUUCCUGAGUAUUUUCUACAGCGCUGCCGUCACUCUGGUGAAGGUUAAGUGAAUGAGUUGUGGACCCUUUGAUUUUCCUGAUCUGCUUAUCAAGGUCUCUGAAUUCCCAAUCUACAAUCUGUCCUGUUGCUGACUCUAACAGUGAGAUUAUUUCAGUUUAUCAGCAUGUAACUGAGACAAUUAUUGAUGGAUUUUACUUUGAUAUCUUUGCGAUGUUUGUUGGUUGGAAGAAUUUGUAGCUUCCCAAUUGUUUGAAGCCCAUUUGUUUUGUUUUUAUUUGUUCCUUACUCAGAAUGGUUGCCUACCCUUUCUGAUGAGCCUUUGUAUACCCUUUCUUGUGACUGUUACUGAUGUACAGAAAAUUCCCACCUCACAGCGAAUGUGUUCUCAUCUCAAUGUGGCAUCCAGCCAUUAUAUUCACUUCUGUUAGCUUUUACAUUAACUUUUUGGAUAAAAAUGCUUUCUGAAAUCAUUAAUAAAUCUCGAAUGAAUAUGCACUAA